CGAACGCUGGCGGCGUGCUUAACACAUGCAAGUCGAACGGAAAGGCCCUGCUUUUGUGGGGUGCUCGAGUGGCGAACGGGUGAGUAACACGUGAGUAACCUGCCCUUGACUUUGGGAUAACUUCAGGAAACUGGGGCUAAUACCGGAUAGGAGCUCCUGCUGCAUGGUGGGGGUUGGAAAGUUUCGGCGGUUGGGGAUGGACUCGCGGCUUAUCAGCUUGUUGGUGGGGUAGUGGCUUACCAAGGCUUUGACGGGUAGCCGGCCUGAGAGGGUGACCGGCCACAUUGGGACUGAGAUACGGCCAGACUCCUACGGGAGGCAGCAGUGGGGAAUAUUGCACAAUGGGCGGAAGCCUGAUGCAGCAACGCCGCGUGCGGGAUGACGGCCUUCGGGUUGUAAACCGCUUUCGCCUGUGACGAAGCGUGAGUGACGGUAAUGGGUAAAGAAGCACCGGCUAACUACGU
rnacentral:rRNA from 1 species